GAUGAACGCUGGCGGCGUGCCUAAUACAUGCAAGUCGAGCGAACGGACGAGAAGCUUGCUUCUCUGAUGUUAGCGGCGGACGGGUGAGUAACACGUGGAUAACCUACCUAUAAGACUGGGAUAACUUCGGGAAACCGGAGCUAAUACCGGAUAAUAUUUUGAACCGCAUGGUUCAAAAGUGAAAGACGGUCUUGCUGUCACUUAUAGAUGGAUCCGCGCUGCAUUAGCUAGUUGGUAAGGUAACGGCUUACCAAGGCAACGACGCAUAGCCGACCUGAGAGGGUGAUCGGCCACACUGGAACUGAGACACGGUCCAGACUCCUACGGGAGGCAGCAGUAGGGAAUCUUCCGCAAAGGGCGAAAGCCUGACGGAGCAACGCCGCGUGAGUGAUGAAGGUCUUCGGAUCGUAAAACUCUGUUAUUAGGGAAGAACAUAUGUGUAAGUAACUGUGCACAUCUUGACGGUACCUAAUCAGAAAGCCACGGCUAACUACGUG
rnacentral:rRNA from 1 species